GAGAGAGAGGGAGAGGAGAGAGCGAACUGAGGAGGAAGAGCUUCAGUGACCCCACCGUGGGAGUCUGGAGGAGUAGACACCUGACCUUAUGCACUUCUCUGACACCUGCCAGUGCUGAAGACUCCAGAGGGUUGUACUUCAUGCAGAGUAGUAGAAGAAAAGAGGACAGUACCCCAUCUCUAAGAGCAUCCUAUGGGCAAACAAAUCCAGAGAGAUUGAGGAACCAACUUCAUAUUCCCCUUCUGAACAAAGACAAAAUUUCAUCUGCACCUGUGAAACUGGGGAGCCUAGUGAUCACCAGUGCUUCCGUAAAGCACCAUCCCAGCUCUGCAGAGGUGGGCUAAGGUAGCAGCAGCUCAUAGGACCAGAAUUCUCUUUCAAAAUAAUUUUAGAUCCACACUUAACUUACAGAUAAAAGGACACCCGAAGCCCUGAGGUCUACAACUCUAGAAAAUCAUGACUAUAAUAAUUCUCGUAUGGCCUAGAAAAUUUAA